UACGAAGGGGGCUAGCGUUGCUCGGAAUUACUGGGCGUAAAGCGCACGUAGGCGGCUUUGUAAGUUAGAGGUGAAAGCCUGGAGCUCAACUCCAGAAUUGCCUUUAAGACUGCAUCGCUUGAAUCCAGGAGAGGUGAGUGGAAUUCCGAGUGUAGAGGUGAAAUUCGUAGAUAUUCGGAAGAACACCAGUGGCGAAGGCGGUCGUGCUGGGGCAGU
rnacentral:rRNA from 1 species